GACGAACGCUGGCGGCGUGCCUAACACAUGCAAGUCGAGCGAGGGGAGUUCUUCGGAACGAACCUAGCGGCGGACGGGUGAGUAACACGUGGGUAACCUGCCUCAAAGAGGGGGAUAGCCUUCCGAAAGGAAGAUUAAUACCGCAUAAUCCAUUGGUUUCGCAUGGAAUCGAUGGUAAAGAUUUAUCGCUUUGAGAUGGACCCGCGGCGCAUUAGCUAGUUGGUGAGGUAACGGCUCACCAAGGCCACGAUGCGUAGCCGACCUGAGAGGGUGAUCGGCCACAUUGGAACUGAGAUACGGUCCAGACUCCUACGGGAGGCAGCAGUGGGGAAUAUUGCACAAUGGGCGCAAGCCUGAUGCAGCAACGCCGCGUGAGUGAUGAAGGUCUUCGGAUUGUAAAGCUCUGUCUUUGGGGACGAUAAUGACGGUACCCAAGGAGGAAGCCACGGCUAACUACGUG
rnacentral:rRNA from 1 species